rnacentral:rRNA from 1 species
UACAGAGGGGGCGAGCGUUGUCCGGAGUGACUGGGCGUACAGCGCGCGCAGGCGGAUCGUGACGUGCCGUGUCACAGCCCUGAGCUCACCUCAGGGUGGCCAUGGUAGACGCGCGGUCUGGAGGCAGGGAGAGGGAUGUGGAAUACCCGGUGGAGCGGUGAAAUGCGUAGAGAUCGGGUGGAACACCAGUGGCGAAGGCGGCAUCCUGGCCCUGACCUGACGCUGAGGCGCGAGAGCGUGGGGGAGCAAACGGGG